rnacentral:rRNA from 1 species
UACGUAGGGUCCGAGCGUUGUCCGGAUUCAUUGGGCGUAAAGAGCUCGUAGGCGGUUCGGUAAGUCAGAUGUGAAAACUCAGGGCUCAACCCGGAGACGCCAUCUGAUACUGCUGUGACUGGAGUCUGGUAGGGGAACACGGAAUUCCUGGUGUAGCGGUGAAAUGCGCAGAUAUCAGGAGGAACACCGAUGGCGAAGGCAGUGUUCUGGGCCAGUACUGACGCUGAGGAGCGAAAGCGUGGGGAGCAAACAGG